UGUACUCCUCUGUUAUUCUGUAUUUAUUUAUUUUAGAAAUACUAUUCUAUGAACAUGCUGAGCUGAUCAAGAGCAGUAUGAUUUAAGCCAUGUGGAUCACUUAAAAUAAAUCUAUGAACUACAUGGUUCUAGGCAUGUAGGCAAUUGUGUAUUUUAUUGGAUUCCACGGUUAAGAACGCAUUCACUUGUCAAUUAGUAGUGUACACUGUUAUCAGCCCAUUAUUAUGAAUUUAUCGAAAAGUUUUAUUAAUAUUGGAAACAAACACGUAUCUAUUUUUACUGUAGUGAAUGAGAGAAGCCAUGAAACCGAUAUUGCAGCAAUGACUUAUUUAGUGCUCCAUAUUAUGCUUAGUCUUUUCUGUAAUUAUACAUGAUCAGGAAUUCUCAUGCAAACUGAUUGUUUGGUCUAAGCAUAUUGAAUUGGUCCGAAACAAAUGCUUUUGUUGACUAAAACAGAGGUGUUAUGGUCCUUGGAUUAUAUCAUGAUAGAAUACUGCCCAGAGAGCAGUUGUGUGACAUGGCUUCUUUAGGAUGGUGAAACUCAGAAAUUCGCUCUAGAUCUCAAGCUACAUGGAGCCUGAUUUUUAUUCAAAAUUUGAAAACAACAUUUCAGAGUUAAAAAAACUCUGAAAAAAGAAUCCUGGAUGUAGAUAAUGUACUCUACCAACAUACAAAAUCUCAACCCGAAAUACCUUAUACUCUGGGCUUGACAAAAAUGACAAAAUCUGACAGGAUUUGGAGGAUUGAAAUUUUAUACUGUUCACUACUUUAAAUGCCAGAUUAUUAUUUUUGUGCAGCCCAAAAUAUGGGGCAUUUUUAGUUGAGAUUUUUUCACGUUUGUAGAGUACAUUAUUUUCUACAUCUAUUUUUUUGGGAUUUUUUGAAACUUCAAAAUGAGUUUUUGAAAUUUUCGAAAAACGGGCUCCCUGUAGCCUGUGAUCAAAACGCUGCACUAAACGACUAAAGAUGAGGCAGAAUAUAUAGGACUUGGUCUCAAUAAUGUUUCUCUUUCUCAAACAUGCAACGAAACAUGCGUCAUUUCCCAUUUUGUAUUAGAAGAACACCAAGAAGGCAAUUGUUUGAAAGGGUAAACAUGAAAAACUAAAAGAAUCAAAAUGCCUGCCCUAUAAAAGCUAUCCAGAACAAUGAAAAAGAAAGCCAAAGGCCAACACCGUACAGCUACUACUGUAGGUCAGCUGCAGACUCUUGAGGGCUUCGCAAUUGGCACCUGGCGUAAUGCUUCUUAUUGCUUAGCGAAUAUGGUGUGCCAGCCCAUUAUAUAUAGGACCAGAUCUCAAUCAUGUCCCUAAGCAAUAUAAUUAAUCUGUUCUUUAGAUGCAACAACCAAAUUUAACAAUUAAUAGAUACAAGGAAUGUCCUAGGAAGUUGUGUCAGGUGCAUCCCUUCCUCUAGUCUCCUCCUUAGGAUGGGUCUAUUCCUAAUGGUGGCUGCAGCUACUAGAGAUGCCGGCACACCUUAACAUAAGGCUGCCGUUCAGUCAUGACAGCUACACAUGCUCCAAAAUCUUCUCCACAACUUGUGGUUUCGUUAUAAUUCCAGCAUCAUGGUCUGUUAUCAAUGUGGAACUUCCUUGAUCGUCCUCACUAUUGAAGGAUCUGGCGGUUGCUCAGCGAUUGUUUCCUCUGUGAGCUACAGUCUUCUUUGAAUUUCAACGUAGUAGUAAAAAAUGAUGGCAGUAACUUGUAAACUAGGAAUCAUUUCCUGAAAUUUGAUUAGUUAAUUGUAUAUCGUUUACCAAAGCUCCAAUAUGUUGCAUGCAAAUAUUUUUUCCUGUCAGGCCUGACUCCAUAGCUAGCAGUGAUUUUUUUUAAAAAAAAAACUACCAAACUACAGAAAAUUAUUUCUAGAAAUUCGAUUGGUUAAUGUUUGUUGAUUGAAAGUUGUGGUGUUAUUUUGGAGAACACUUAAGCUCUAUUUUUUUUGUACGUGAACCUCCUGGUUGUCAUCAUUCUUGCUAGAAUGUUGCCAAUCUCAUGAGAUAUAUGAUUAUUUUGUUGGAAAAAUUCUAUACUUAUCAUGACAUAAUUUAGGAAAGACAGUACCCAUCAUUCAAGACUUUAUUUUCCUCUAUUUUUUAACAUCAUCUUUGACCGAAGUAGAAUCAACAUGGGUUGGCAUGUGCUGUGCCUGUGACCCUUCUGGAGCAUGAAGAUGCUCUACGUGGUUGGUCAUGUGAUAAUUGAGCUUUUUGAGAUCAAUACUAGUGUUUUAUUUACGUUUAACAUGUAUGAAGUUUUCGGAAGCUAAUCUUUCCCUCCGUCCUACUGUUUUGCUGAUACCAUCUAUUUUAAAGAAAUUGUAUUCAGAAAUGAUGUAAUUAGUAAUUAGUACUUUCCCAUCUACUGUUUUGGUGAUGACUCAUUCUGAAGUUUUUGGCAUUUAGAAAAACAUGGGAUACCAAGAUGUUCAGGUUAACAUGGAAGUUAUUUGCGCCAUUCUUUGUCUGAUUCAUGCUCUGGCCAUAUAUUUCAACGAAAUCCUUGUCUGCUAAAAAUAUCAGAUACUUUCAGUAUAAGCUGAAUCGAUGACGCUGUGUGUUCUGGCAUUGGAUUGGAAGUAGUUCUCGUCAACAACCUCCUUGCCAAAUAUAUAUAGUGUUACUGUUUGUUUGUUUCUGCACAUUGGUGCUUGGGGAGAUAUGUAUGGGAUUGAAGAAGGGGCACAUUGAUUGAACUGAUUUUAUUUGUUUUCUUUUUUCUGGCAUGAGCUUUCAGAGAUAGAUAUUGCAUUUUUCAUUAAGCAGGAAAGCAAGCCUAUUUAAUUACAGGAGUUAGGCCACAUGGUAUUUUCACCUCUACAGAACACAAAGUCAUGCUUUACCAUCUGCUUGCUAUGAUUUAAAUGUUGAAAUACCACUGCAGUGGCUGCGGCUACUCUAGACCAAACACAUCCCUUUUGUAUCGAACAAGUUACCUAGAAUAAACUGCAGCGUUAUAUGUUUCCUCUCUGAAUUUGAAUUCAGAGUGCAAUCAGUCCUUGGCUAUUCUACUAACUUCCUUUUCUUGCAUCUUUUGAAGCAUACUUAUAGUUACUUGCAUUUGUCUGGCAUUCUGCAUUGUUUCUGCUUACGCUUGCUACUAAAAGUGAUUAGAUAUGCUUCUACACAGUUGUAGAAUAAGGAGUCUUUUCAGACACAUGUGAGCGCGGGGUCUUGCGAAACUGGUCAAAAUCAAAGGGUUAAUUAACUUGUGUAGAUUCAUACUUGCAGCGAAGGUGAAUUGAGAUGUUUAUCAAUAGAAACGUGGGUACCUAGACGGUCAGGCUAAUGUGGACGUCAUUUGCGCCAUUCUUCGGCUGAUUCAUGCUAUGGCAAUGUAUUCUCGAAGAAACGUUUGAGAUUCUGGUGAUGAAGAUCAGGUGGAAAUGAUAGUGAUGAUGUACUUAUCCUGCUCCUGCAAGAACAUUUCUUCAAUUCUAAGAUCUCGAUUCAUCAAGUUGCCUCCCAAGCCAGCAGUGAUUUGCCUGCGUAGUUGUCAAGAGGGGUGGGGCUGUAGGUUUGUAUCCUGUGUGUUCUGGCACCGGACUGGAAGCAGUUCUUGCUAGAUAUAUAGAGUAUCACUUGCUGUUGGUUUCUUUCCUGCACAGUGGCACUUGAGAAUAUAUGGGAUUGAAUUGGCCACUGAUUGAAGUGAUUUCAUUUGCUGCAAGAACUCAUGGAAUCAAGUAUGGCGAUUAUUUGA